UUUGCGCCGAAGGUAUACCGGUAAGGAGUGCUGGAGCGAAUAGAAGUGAGCAUGCAGGCAUGAGUAGCGAUAAUUAAUGUGAGAAUCAUUAACGCCGUAAACCCAAGGUUUCCUACGCGAUGCUCGUCAUCGUAGGGUUAGUCGGGUCCUAAGUCGAGUCCGAAAGGGGUAGACGAUGGCAAAUUGGUUAAUAUUCCAAUACCAACAUUAGUGUGCGAUGGAAGGACGCUUAGGGCUAAGGGGGCUAGCGGAUGGAAGUGCUAGUCUAAGGUCGUAGGAGGUUGUACAGGCAAAUCCGUAUAACAAUACUCCGAGAACUGAAAGGCUUUUUGAAGUCUUCGGAUGGAUAGAAGAACCCCUGAUGCCGUCGAGCCAAGAAAAGUUUCUAAGUUUAGCUAAUGUUGCCCGUACCGUAAACCGACACAGGUGGGUGGGAUGAGUAUUCUAAGGCGCGUGGAAGAACUCUCUUUAAGGAACUCUGCAAAAUAGCACCGUAUCUUCGGUAUAAGGUGUGGUUAGCUUUGUAUUAGGAUUUACUCCGAAAGCAAGGAAACUUACAACAAAGAGUCCCUCCCGACUGUUUACCAAAAACACAGCACUCUGCUAACUCGUAAGAGGAUGUAUAGGGUGUGACGCCUGCCCGGUGCUCGAAGGUUAAUUGAUGGGGUUAGCAUUAGCGAAGCUCUUGAUCGAAGCCCGAGUAAACGGCGGCCGUAACUAUAACGGUCCUAAGGUAGCGAAAUUCCUUGUCGGUUAAAUACCGACCUGCAUGAAUGGCGUAACGAGAUGGGAGCUGUCUCAAAGAGGGAUCCAGUGAAAUUGUAGUGGAGGUGAAAAUUCCUCCUACCCGCGGCAAGACGGAAAGACCCCGUGGACCUUUACUACAGCUUGACACUGCUACUUGGAUAAGAAUGUGCAGGAUAGGUGGGAGGCUUUGAGUAUAUGACGCCAGUUGUAUAUGAGCCAUUGUUGAGAUACCACUCUUUCUUAUUUGGGUAGCUAACCAGCUUGAGUUAUCCUCAAGUGGGACAAUGUCUGGUGGGUAGUUUGACUGGGGCGGUCGCCUCCCAAAUAAUAACGGAGGCUUACAAAGGUUGGCUCAGAACGGUUGGAAAUCGUUCGUAGAGUAUAAAGGUAUAAGCCAGCUUAACUGCAAGACAUACAAGUCAAGCAGAGACGAAAGUCGGUCUUAGUGAUCCGGUGGUUCUGUGUGGAAGGGCCAUCGCUCAAAGGAUAAAAGGUACCCCGGGGAUAACAGGCUGAUCUCCCCCAAGAGCUCACAUCGACGGGGAGGUUUGGCACCUCGAUGUCGGCUCAUCGCAUCCUGGGGCUGGAGCAGGUCCCAAGGGUAUGGCUGUUCGCCAUUUAAAGCGGUACGCGAGCUGGGUUCAGAACGUCGUGAGACAGUUCGGUCCCUAUCUGCCGUGGGCGUAAGAAGAUUGAAGAGAUUUGACCCUAGUACGAGAGGACCGGGUUGAACAAACCACUGGUGUAGCUGUUGUUCUGCCAAGAGCAUCGCAGCGUAGCUAAGUUUGGAAAGGAUAAACGCUGAAAGCAUCUAAGCGUGAAGCCAACUCUAAGAUGAAUCUUCUCUAAGCUCUCUAGAAGACUACUAGUUUGAUAGGCUGGGUGUGUAAUGGAUGAAAGUCCUUUAGCUGACCAGUACUAAUAGAGCGUUUGGCUUAUCUUUAAUAAAGCAU
rnacentral:rRNA from 1 species